rnacentral:rRNA from 1 species
UAGAGUCCGGUAGGGGAGCACGGAAUUCCCGGUGUAGCGGUGAAAUGCUUAGAUAUCGGGAGGAACACCAGUGGCGAAGGCGGUGCUCUGGGCCGGAACUGACGCUGAGGAGCGAAAGCGUGGGUAGCAAACAGGAUUAGAUACCCUGGUAGUCCACGCCGUAAACGUUGGGCACUAGGUGUGGGACCCUAUCGACGGGUUCCGUGCCGUAGCUAACGCAUUAAGUGCCCCGCCUGGGGAGUACGGCCGCAAGGCUAAAACUCAAAGGAAUUGACGGGGGCCCGCACAAGCGGCGGAGCAUGUUGCUUAAUUCGAUGCAACGCGAAGAACCUUACCUAGGCUUGACAUGCAGGGAAAAGCCGUAGAGAUACGGUGUCCUUCGGGGCCCUGCACAGGUGGUGCAUGGUUGUCGUCAGCUCGUGUCGUGAGAUGUUGGGUUAAGUCCCGCAACGAGCGCAACCCUUGUCCUAUGUUGCCAGCGGAUAAUGCCGGGGACUCGUAGGAGACUGCCGGGGUCAACUCGGAGGAAGGUGGGGAUGACGUCAAAUCAUCAUGCCCCUUACGUCUAGGGCUGCAAACAUGCUACAAUGGCCGGUACAAAGGGCUGCUAUUCCGUCGAGGAUGAGCGAAUCCCAAAAAGCCGGUCUCAGUUCGGAUGCGGAGUCUGCAACUCGACUCCGUGAAGUC